rnacentral:SRP_RNA from 1 species
AGAUAUAGGAUUAAUACUAACUUUAAAUUUUUAUUUUAUGCUGCUAUCUUACGAUUCUGACAUGGUAAAUAAAUUUAAUAAUUAUAUUAAAUCCUAUAUCCG